CCUACGGGGGGCAGCAGUGGGGAAUAUUGCACAAUGGGGGGAACCCUGAUGCAGCAACGCCGCGUGGGUGAAGAAGUAUUUCGGUAUGUAAAGCCCUGUCAGCAGGGAAGAAGGAGACGGUACCUGACCAAGAAGCCCCGGCUAACUACGUGCCAGCAGCCGCGGUAAUACGUAGGGGGCAAGCGUUAUCCGGAUUUACUGGGUGUAAAGGGAGCGUAGACGGCACUGCAAGUCUGGAGUGAAAGCCCGAGGCCCAACCACGGGACUGCUCUGGAAACUGCGGGGCUGGAGUGCAGGAGGGGUAAGCGGAAUUCCUAGUGUAGCGGUGAAAUGCGUAGAUAUUAGGAGGAACACCGGUGGCGAAGGCGGCUUACUGGACUGUAACUGACGUUGAGGCUCGAAGGCGUGGGGAGCAAACAGGAUUAGAUACCCUAGUAG
rnacentral:rRNA from 1 species